UCGGGAAUUUUGGGCAAUGGGCGAAAGCCUGACCCAGCAACGCCGCGUGAGGGAUGAAGUAUUUCGGUAUGUAAACCUCGAAAGAAUGGGAAGAAUAAAUGACGGUACCAUUUAUAAGCUCCGGCUAACUACGUGCCAGCAGCCGCGGUAAUACGUAGGGAGCAAGCGUUGUUCGGAUUUACUGGGCGUAAAGGGCGCGUAGGCGGCGCGGUAAGUCACUUGUGAAAUCUCUGAGCUUAACUCAGAGCGGCCAAGUGAUACUGCUGUGCUAGAGUGCGGAAGAGGCAACCGGAAUUCUUGGUGUAGCGGUGAAAUGCGUAGAUAUCAAGAGGAACACCUGAGGCGAAGGCGGGUUGCUGGGCCGACACUGACGCUGAUGCGCGAAAGCCAGGGGAGCAAACG
rnacentral:rRNA from 1 species